rnacentral:rRNA from 1 species
UACAGAGGUCCCAAGCGUUGUUCGGAUUCACUGGGCGUAAAGGGUGCGUAGGUGGUCGGGUAAGUCUGAUGUGAAAUCUCCGAGCUCAACUCGGAAAUGGCAUUGGAUACUAUUCGGCUAGAGAGUCGGAGGGGGGACUGGAAUUCUCGGUGUAGCAGUGAAAUGCGUAGAUAUCGAGAGGAACACCAGUGGCGAAGGCGAGUCCCUGGACGACUUCUGACACUGAGGCACGAAAGCUAGGGGAGCAAACAGG